rnacentral:rRNA from 1 species
GUGCCAGCCGCCGCGGUAAUACGUAGGUGGCGAGCGUUGUCCGGAAUUACUGGGUGUAAAGGGCGUGUAGGCGGGAAUGCAAGUCAGAUGUGAAAUUCCAUGGCUCAACUGUGGGGCUGCAUCUGAAACUGUAUUUCUUGAGUGCUGGAGAGGAAAGCGGAAUUCCUAGUGUAGCGGUGAAAUGCGUAGAUAUUAGGAGGAACACCAGUGGCGAAGGCGGCUUUCUGGACAGUAACUGACGCUGAGGCGCGAAAGCGUGGGGAGCAAACAGGAUUAGAUACCCCCGUAGUCC